UACGUAGGGGGCUAGCGUUGUCCGGAAUCAUUGGGCGUAAAGCGCGCGUAGGCGGCCCGGUAAGUCCGCUGUGAAAGUCAAAGGCUCAACCUUUGAAUGUCAGCGGAUACUGCCGGGCUAGAGUCCGGAAGAGGCGAGUGGAAUUCCCGGUGUAGCGGUGAAAUGCGCAGAUAUCAGGAGGAACACCGGUGGCGAAGGCGGGUCUCUGGACAGUUCCUGACGCUGAGGCGCGAAGGCCAGGGGAGGCAAAACGGG
rnacentral:rRNA from 1 species